rnacentral:tRNA from 1 species
GCCGGAGUGGCGGAAUGGUAGACGCGAUCGACUCAAAAUCGAUAGAUGGCAACAUCGUGGAGGUUCGAGUCCUCUCUCCGGCA